rnacentral:rRNA from 1 species
UACGUAGGUGGCAAGCGUUGUCCGGAUUUACUGGGCGUAAAGAGCGCGCAGGCGGUCGUUCAAGUCGCGUGUGAAAGCCCCCGGCUCAACUGGGGAGGGUCACGCGAUACUGAUCGACUCGAAGGCAGAAGAGGGAAGCGGAAUUCCCGGUGUAGUGGUGAAAUGCGUAGAUAUCGGGAGGAACACCAGUGGCGAAGGCGGCUUUCUGGUCUGCUCUUGACGCUGAGGCGCGAAAGCUAGGGUAGCAAACGGG